rnacentral:rRNA from 1 species
GUUAGUGGCGAAAGGGUGAGGAAUAGAUAGGAACGUACCCUGUGCUCUGGGAGGGCGUCUGAAGCUUCGGCUUCUUCCGAAAGGGGCGGUAAUACCAGAUAAUGUCCUUCGGGACCAAAGAUUUAUCGGCAUUGGAGCGGCCUAUCUCCUAUCAGCUUGUUGGUGAGGUAACGGCUCACCAAGGCAACGACGGGUAGCGGGACUGAGAGGUUGGCCCGCCACAUCGGGACUGAGACACUGCCCGGACCUCCACGGAGGGCUGCAGUAACGGAUAUUGGGCAAUGGGCGAAAGCCUGACCCAGCAAUGCCGCGUGCAGGAUGAAGCCCCUAGGGGUGUAAACUGCUGUCAGGGGUCAGAAAGCUGGUUUCGGCCAGUUGAUCAACCCCAGAGGAAGUCACGGCUAACUUCGUGCCAGCAGCCGCGGUAAUACGAAGGUGGCAAGCGUUAUUCGGAAUCAUUGGGCUUAAAGGGCACGCAGGCGGAACAGUGUGUGUUGUGUGAAAUCCCCCGGGCUUAACCGGGGAAUUGCACAGCAAACUGCUGUUCUUGAGGCAGGUAGGGGUGCAUGGAACUCUUGGUGGAGCGGUGGAAUGCGUAGAUAUCAAGAGGAACGCCAGAGGUGAAGACGGUGCACUGGGCCUGUCCUGACGCUGAGGUGCGAAAGCGUGGGGAGCGAACGGGAUUAGAUACCUCGGUAGUCCACGCCGUAAACGAUGUCUACUAGGUCGUGGGUGUUCUGACACAUUCACGGCCGGAGCAAAAGUGUUUAGUAGACCGCCUGGGGAGUACGGCCGCAAGGUUAAAACUCAAAUGAAUUGACGGGGGCUCACACAAGCGGUGGAGCAUGUGGAUUAAUUCGAAGCAACGCGCAGAACCUUACCUGGGUUUGACAUGCUUGUAUGCCUUCUCUGAAAGGAGUUAGGCUGCCUUCGGGUGAAACUUGCACAGGUGCUGCAUGGCUGUCGUCAGCUCGUGUCGUGAGAUGUCGGGUUAAGUCCUUUAACGAGCGAAACCCUUGCCGUUAGUUGCCAGCGAGUGAUGUCGGGGACUCUAACGGGACUGCCGGUGUUAAACCGGAGGAAGGUGGGGAUGACGUCAAGUCCUCAUGGCCUUUAUGCCCAGGGCUUCACACGUGCUACAAUGGCAAUUACAGAGCGACGCGAUACCGCGAGGUGGAGCAAAUCGCAAAAAAAUUGCCUCAGUUCGGAUUGCAGGCUGGCAAUUCGCCUGCAUGAAGUCGGAAUCGCUAGUAAUCGCGUAUCAGCAAUGACGCGGUGAAUGUGUUCCUGAGCCUUGUACACACCGCCCGUCAAGUGAUGGAAG